rnacentral:lncRNA from 1 species
GUCAUAAAUAAUAACAUGCUAAGAUUUAGAAUCACAAAUAAUACCGUAUUCAAGUUUAAGGGAUAUACCUGCGGAAGACAUAUUGAAUACGUUCUUCAAUCACCUGGAAUAAUAGCGGCUGGAUCUUCCCUUCCUUGCUCCUCACAAAAGAUAGCCGUCAAUGGGGCAAGCAAUCAACCAUAUGGAGAGGAGAGGGGGACCUAGCCUAUAUAUAGGAAACAUAGAGGAGCCUUCCCAUUAAAGGCUCCAUAACCCUAAUUGGUUUUCUGGCCUACAUACCAAAAGUACCACAAUAAAUAGGACUCAAUCCUAUACAUCCAAGGUGCACCAAAGCCCAUAAAACAAAAUGAUCACACAUCAUAUUGGGCUUAACCAUAGUAUCAUUCUGAGCCAUACGUCUAACCCGUUU